ensembl:lncRNA
AAGAAAUUGAAAUGCAAUUUUCGUUGUUGUGUAAGAGAGAAAGCUAUCAGCCAAGCGAUUUGUCUGUAAUAUUCUCACAAGCACAACAGAAGCAAAGUAGUGGGAGAAAUACUGUUGUUUAUAUUCUGUGCUUUCUCUUGCAAGUAUAUUUUCAAGGUUAAACCAAAAUUAUCGUAUUUCUCAGCUACCAUUAAUGGUGUAUGGACUGAUUUUUCAUAUUCCAAAGCUGUGUAGCAACAUGCAAACUCUUUAACUAACCUGGGAGAUUGUCAGCUUUCCUUUUCAUUAAGGCUCAGUGCCAACAAUCUUUGCCAGAUGACAUCUCAGGUUUUUUGGUUUUUUUUUCUGCUUCCAAAUCACCAAUGGAUCUUUCUGAAGGCUAACUGCUAUGAAAUUAAUGAAGUACUGGGAACCAUCCUGUUGGGUAGCACGUCGGUGGAUCAGCAGCUCUCAGACAGUUGAGCUCCAUCUUCUGACAUGAACAUGUGUGAUCCAGUGCUCCCUGUUCUGAUGGGGUGCUGUCUGACCCUGUUUACAUUUCCACUGGCUCAUGUUCCUCAGCUUAUAGAUGAGAUGUUCCUCAGAGAGCUUCAGGGACAUCGCAGUGUGUAUUUAAGGAAUAUUCACAAAGAAAAUUCCUGAGGAAUGAAGAAAAGACCACAGCUUCCAGCUUUCCGCGAGCCUGGGCUGAUCAGCUCUGUGGAAAACAAUCCAUGUUAAUCUCUAUGAAAUCAGUGUGACCGGAUCUGCAGCCCAGCAGCAGUUCAGCAGCAAUGGAGCAUGGCUUUGGUGUUCAUUGACAGAGGAAUCCUUCUCGGUUGUGCUUUGGUCCAGAAGCCUUGUGUGUGUACAGCUGGAGGGUUGAACACUUGGAAUGGAAUGUGACUCUUAAUGUAUACUGUGAUAAGUAGACGGCUAUAGCGAGCUUAUGCAUAAAUAGCAAAUUAAUUGUAGUACUUCAGCAUUGCAGUGAAAGCGGAAAGCCUCAGGAAACCGGGCGAUUUUAGUGAAACUAAGCAUCAGCCUCUGAAACCCAAAUGAGCCCAGCUUGGUGCCCUGUGCGGAACGCUUUGGGCCGGAAGGGAACUUCACACCAACGACACGAGGAAUCGAGGCAUUCCAGGCGCAUUACGAAGGCCGCGAGCGCCGAAUCUCCGCCUCAACGCUCAGCACGGAGCGUCGCGGACGCCGCCC